AAAUUUGUGUACCAUCUAAACAAUUGGCUUUAUAUACGAAGAAUGUGUACUGUGCGGCAAUACGUAUCCAUAACCAUCUACCGUCACACAGUUAUGCAAUGAGCCUUACUUCUUUUAGAUGUUAUUUAUUUAAAUUUUUAUUAAACAAAGGUUAUUAUGAUGUUAAUGAAUUUUUGAAUG